CCGGUGGUCGCAGCCGGGGAAAAGGAGAGGAGCGCUCGCCUCCUCACUUUCUCCGCGUCCACCGGCGAAGCCCGCGCUCGGCGAGGGCGAAGGCGCGAGAGGGAGGUGGAGACGGCAAGGCGACAGUGGCAGCACCGGCGGCUGUCACAUCCUGAUUUUUGUUUCAGGAUUUAUAAAUUAUUUAAUAAAUUAUUAUUUGAAUUUAUAUCAAAUGAUCUUUAAUUUACAAGUGAAGUUAAAUGUGGGAAAUAAAAUUUCCUAAAUAUAAAGCAUGGAUGGAUUUAAUUUUUAUUAAAUUCCCCAUGAUUAAGUCAACUCUCUGAGAUUUUCUCGGAUUUUUCAGAGCUCAAUUCCUUAAAUGAUACAAAGAACAGUUCAGUAAUUAUUUGAUCAAUAAUGAUCUAAUUAUAUUUGUUAAGAGUUUUUUUUUGUUUAAAAAUCCUUAAAUUAUAAAUUGUUGUUUAAAAGGAAUAAUUAGAAAUGAUCUUAAAAGCUUAAAAGAGAAGAUCUAAUUUUAAUUUGUUAAAUCUCAACAUAAAAUUGGGCUAGAUAAAAUUUUGUUAAAUACUUUGCUUAAUUCUAUAAUUCCUAGAUUUUUCUGGGAUUUAUUUGAGCUAAGGAAGUAUUUUUAAUAAAUGGAAUUGCAUUUCAUGAAUAAUUUAAAUUGAAAAAGGUUUUUAAAUGUCUUCUUUUGGCUUUGGGCCGAAAGUCGGCCCAAAACCCCUCUCUUUCUCUCUCUCCCCGGCCCAGUCAGCCCAGUCCGAGCCGCCGCUCUCCUCUCUCUCUCUCGAUGUCGCUGACAGGUGGGCCCCACCUGUCAGGGUUGUCGUCAACCUCCAGCCGCCGCCGCCCGAAACCCUAGCCGAGCCGCGUCCGAGCCGCCGCCGUCUCCUUCCAAAUCCGGUCGAUUCUUUCCUUCUCCGGUGAAAUCUUUUGAGGGGAAAUGAUCUUCUCGAUCUCCUCUUCCUUUUCUCUUUUGGAAUCAUCGUCUUAAUCGCUUUGGAAGUUCAUGGAUUCGAGGUCGAAUCGGAUCGGUUUCUUUCCUCCGAACCCCAAGCUUUCCAUCCCGCCGCCGGUCGCCGUGGGCCUUUGCCGCCGCCUUCCAACCCCUUUAAAAGGACCCCCGGUGUCUCCUCUACCCGCCGCCUCCCUCGCCUUCGUCUCUCGCCGUCGGAAGCGCCCUAGCGCCGUGUGACCUACCGCCGCCGUCGUCGCCGCCGCUCCAGCCGUGCGCCGCCGCCGUUCCGGUCGUCGUCGUCGCUCGGGGAGGUCGCCAUCGUGGUCGCCAAGUCGCCGCCGUCCCCGUCCACCCCUUCGCCGUCGCCGAAGACCGCCAGAGCACCGUCGCCGCCGUCGACCCGAUCUUCGCCGCCGCUUCUUCCUCGUCGCCGGCGCCGUCCGUUGCUUUUCCGCCGUGGUUUUGGUCACCGGUGAGUUCGUCGCGUCGCCUUCUACCCGUUGGUGCCUUCCGUUUGCGUCGUCGUGCCGUCGUUCGCCGGCGAGCAUGCGCCGCCCGAGCUGCCGAGCCGCCAAGCCGCCGCCGGUGCUGACGUCAUCGCUGACGUCACCGCUGACGUCAUCGUCGUCGUUCAUCCGUGAGCCGCGGUGGAUCCGUUCGAUCUCGGCCGUCCGUUUUGGAUAUGAUCGAUCUCGGCCGUCCGUUCCCGUGAACCGUUGCCGUGCGCCCGGUACACCGCAAACCCUAGCCGCUGACGCAAUAAUUCUCUUUUCCUUUUCAAAAAUAAUUCAUUAUUGCGUCAUAAUUCAAUUAAAAUCCAUAUAAGUGUUUUAAUCCGAUUUAAUCUUUAAAAAUUCAUAACUAAUUCAUUGUAACUCAGUUUAAUGUGGUUCAAGUUGCAAAAAUUGUAUAAAAUAAAGAUCUACAUAUUAAAAUUGUCCAUGAAUUGAAUUAAAUUUAUUUAAUUCUUUUUAAAUGGGCUUUAAUUAGAUUUAAUCUUAUAAAAUUCAUAAUAAAUUCUUUUGAAGUCAGAAUGAGGCCGUUCAAGUCUCAUAAUUCAUCUAAAAUUAUGAUCUACAUGUUUGUUUACUUUUUAUGUAUUGUUUAUUUGGUUUUUAUUAGUCUUUUUCUUCGUUUUGCGUGUUAGCUUGUCGUUUUCGUCGUUGCGAAGGUUCGCGAGUGCGCCGGAAGUAUUCAAGAAGAUUAAUUGAAGACCGAUUAUUGCAAGGCAAGUCACACAGAUCCUAAACACAAUCCUUUGAGCAUGUUGAUCCUAUAUUUAAAAUUCUCUAUUUAUUUCAACUAUGCAUUUAUUUUAGAAUGUCACCGGGUGGUGUGAACUUAUUCCUUUGUUAUGGCCAAUUUGCAUUGAUUACUUUAUUUCUUGAUACCUUGGGUUAUUAUAACUUGACUAGUUGAGCUUUAUAUAUUGGUUCAGCUAGAUAUUAGAUAUGAUUGCUUAGCCAUGCUUAGAAACAUUAGCACACUAUUGGGAUAACUUAUGACUCACUAUUAUUUAAUGAUGGCUUAAUGAUAGUUCACGAUGGUCAAUCGUGAUUGGUUAAUUAAUUACUUGCCAACUAAAACUUGAUAAUGGUGGGUUGUGAGCACAUGGUUUUGAGAGUCGUGCUCAUGGCAAUUAAGGACCGGUUCGCGAGCUACUGUUGUGAAACAUUAACCGUGCCAACCACAAGCCAGCGUGGGCAACGGCUUUACCUUUUGUAUAACAUGAUUCAUUGCGGAGCACCAGACUGAGAAGUGGCGGAGAUAAGCCCACGGGGGUCGCUGGGGAGUCCAUGCCUUGUUUUAUAAGGGGGUGAUUAUGAUCCAGGAAUGGUGCACUGUGGUGAGUUGUGUUGUGCAGAGGGUAUUGUUACAGCCUCUAUUCGGGUACUUUCCAGUAUCGCGACGCAUGGUAGACAUGAUGUUGAGGCUGUGUCUUGUGGGUACAGUGGUACACCUCUGGCCAGAGUAAAACUAUUCGAAUAGCCGUGCCCGCGGUUAUGGGCGGGUUGAGCAAUGUUUUUCGUGAUUAGUCUCACACCUCUCACAAUAAUUAUGGAUGCUAUAACUGGUAAUAAUUUGUUUAGCUCCUGGUUUGGAGUUAGAUCUGUACAGCCGGGUAUGGUUGUUCAGGAUGGUUGGGCCUGUACAGCAUGGGUGUGCUGUUCAGUGUUGAUUAAAAUUUCUGAUUAAUUACUCUUAACUCUUAACCAGGAGCUCGCCAUCAACCGAUCCGAUGACCGAAAUCUCAUUCUCGUCCAAAUCCGGUCAGCAACCAGUUGAAGCGGGUGAGGUCGAGGUCAUUACCAUCGUCGCUGUGGUGGUCGAGGUCGUCGUUGUUGCCACCGCCGUGGUCGAGGUCAUCGUUGCCACCAGUCAUCGCCGCCGCCACAAUGGUUGAGAUCAUUGCCGCCGCGUUCUUCUUCUUCCAUGCCGGUGGUCGCAGCCGGGGAAAAGGAGAGGAGCGCUCGCCUCCUCACUUUCUCCGCGUCCGCCGGCGAAACCCGCGCUCGGCGAGGGCGACGGCGCAAGAGGGAGGUGGAGACGGCAAGGCGACAGCGGCAGCACCGGCGGCGGAGGUGUAGGCGGCGACGCGAGGGGAAGGCAGAGGCGGUGCGAGGUGACGGGGACGACGCGAGGCGGAGGCGGGGCCCGUCAGCGGCGGCAGGAGAGGGACAGGGUUGGGGGGCGAGUAGGAGGAGGGGAGACGGGCGGCGGUGGC
rnacentral:lncRNA from 1 species